GGAUGCUAAUACCGCAUACGUCCUACGGGAGAAAGCAGGGGAUCUUCGGACCUUGCGCUAAUAGAUGAGCCUAAGUCGGAUUAGCUAGUUGGUGGGGUAAAGGCCUACCAAGGCGACGAUCUGUAGCGGGUCUGAGAGGAUGAUCCGCCACACUGGGACUGAGACACGGCCCAGACUCCUACGGGAGGCAGCAGUGGGGAAUAUUGGACAAUGGGGGGAGCCCUGAUCCAGCCAUGCCGCGUGUGUGAAGAAGGCCUUAUGGUUGUAAAGCACUUUAAGCGAGGAGGAGGCUACUGAGACUAAUACUCUUGGAUAGUGGACGUUACUCGCAGAAUAAGCACCGGCUAACUCUGUGCCAGCAGCCGCGGUAAUACAGAGGGUGCGAGCGUUAAUCGGAUUUACUGGGCGUAAAGCGUGCGUAGGCGGCUUUUUAAGUCGGAUGUGAAAUCCCCGAGCUUAACUUGGGAAUUGCAUUCGAUACUGGGAAGCUAGAGUAUGGGAGUGGAUGGUAGAAUUCCAGGUGUAGCGGUGAAAUGCGUAGAGAUCUGGAG
rnacentral:rRNA from 1 species